rnacentral:rRNA from 1 species
AGAAUCAACGCUGGCGGCGUGCCUAACACAUGCAAGUCGGACGAGAAAGUGGAGCAAUCCAUGAGUAAAGUGGCGCACGGGUGAGUAACACGUGACUAACCUACCCUUGAGUGGGGGAUAACCUAGAGAAAUCUGGGCUAAUACCGCAUAAUACCUUCGGGUCAAAGGAGCAAUUCGCUUAAGGAGGGGGUCGCGGCCGAUUAGUUAGUUGGCGGGGUAAUGGCCCACCAAGACUAUGAUCGGUA